rnacentral:lncRNA from 1 species
GAGUGUUGAGAACUGUGGCCAGUUCACCCUUACAGCCCAGUCCAGUGAAGGCUGCUGUGACUGUUCAGGUCAUGAGUCGCCUGAUGGAAAGUAUGUCUGUCUUGCCGUGUCUUUGAUUUUUCAGAAGAAGUUGGAAACCUAGAUUUUUAUGUGAAAUCAUCUCUAUUUUUUUCAGCUUAUUAAAGGUACAGUUGACAACCAAAAUGAUAAUAAAGAUGUCAAGUCGCUGCAUGUGAUCCUUGCUGGGAAGGAAAGGGACCAUGGUGUCAUGAGAGGGGCUUUGGGUGACCUGACCUGGGUCCUGGACCAAGAUCUGGGGAUGAGGAGAGACACAGAAGAAUCCUCGUGGAGGUGACGUUUCACCUGAGACAUGCCAGGCAGAAGGAAACAGAGGGCUUAGAUGCGAAAGCGAGUUCAUGUCCAAGCACUCAUGAAACCAGCAUAGACUGAGAAAGAGAGCGGGGUCGAUG